rnacentral:rRNA from 1 species
UACGAGGGGGGCGAGCGUUGUUCGGAAUUAUUGGGCGUAAAGGGUGCGUAGGCGGUUUGGUAAGUCUGGUGUGAAAUCUAUGGGCUCAACUCAUAGUCUGCAUCGGAAACUGCCGGGCUUGAGUGUGGGAGAGGUGAGUGGAAUUCCUGGUGUAGCGGUGAAAUGCGUAGAUAUCAGGAGGAACACCUGUGGCGAAAGCGGCUCACUGGACCAUAACUGACGCUGAUGCACGAAAGCUAGGGGAGCAAACAGG